rnacentral:rRNA from 1 species
GAUGAACGCUGGCGGCGUGCCUAAUACAUGCAAGUCGAGCGAACGGACGAGAAGCUUGCUUUUCUGAUGUUAGCGGCGGACGGGUGAGUAACACGUGGAUAACCUACCUAUAAGACUGGGUUAACUUCGGGAAACCGGAGCUAAUACCGGAUAAUAUUUUGAACCGCAUUGUUCAAAAGUGAAAGACGGUCUUGCUGUCACUUAUAGAUGGAUCCGCGCUGCAUUAGCUAGUUGGUAAGGUAACGGCUUACCAAGGCAACGAUGCAUAGCCGACCUGAGAGGGUGAUCGGCCACACUGGAACUGAGACACGGUCCAGGCUCCUACGGGAGGCAGCAGUAGGGAAUCUUCCGCAAAGGGCGAAAGCCUGACGGAGCAACGCCGCGUGAGUGAUGAAGGUCUUCGGAUCGUAAAACUCUGUUAUUAGGGAAGAACAUAUGUGUAAGUAACUGUGCACAUCUUGACGGUACCUAAUCAGAAAGCCACGGCUAACUACGUG